AGAGGUGGCUUAUGGGUUAUUAGGUGGCGAUGAGGUUGGAAGAAUGAGACGACGUUGGAGUUGGAAGAAUGAGUCGGCAAUGAAGUUGGAAGAAUGAGACGGCGAUGGAGUUGGAAGAAUGAGACGGCGAUGGAGUUGAUAGGUUCCACAGACGGUGCUGAAGUUGGAAGGUUGCACAGUCGGUGCUGAAGUUGGAAGGUUGCACAGACGGCGCGGCGUUUAGAGUUUUUGGAAAUGGUGGUUUCGCGGGACCACAGAACGUGAGAGAGAAAGAAGGGAUGCAAAGGUGCACCAAGAGGGGUAAUGUGAAGGAUCACAAAAAAAGAAGAGAAAGGGAGGUAGACACGAGAGACCACUAGGAAAAGGUAGAGGAGGUAAACUCGAAGGUGCACAUGAAGCUGGUAGACUUGCAGGGGAUAAAAGAAUGAGAAAAGAGGGGAGUUGUGGUCUUGUUAGACCACAAGGAGAGGAGAAAGUUGUGGUCGUGAGGGACCACAGGGAUGAGAGAAGAGGAGAAUUGUGGUCAUGCGAGACCACGAGGGAAGAGCAUAUAAGAGAAUGAGGAAAAAACACAGACGGUGAUGGGGUUCUGCCGUUUGUGAAAGAGGAGAGAGAAAGAGAGAGGAGAGAGAAAAGAAGAGAGAGAAAGGGGAGGAGAGAGAAAAGAAGAGAGAAAUAGAGAUGAGAGAGAAAAUCACCUUAUCAAGGG
rnacentral:lncRNA from 1 species